AUACAUGCAAGUCGAACGAAGUGCAAUACUUAGUGGCAGACGGGUGAGUAACAUGUAGGUAUCUUCCCUUUGGUGAGGAAUACCACGAGGAAACUUGUGCUAAUACCUCAUAAGUCUUUACGGAGAAAGCUUUAUGCGCCGAAGGAUGAGCCUGCACUUGAUUAGUUGUUGGUGGGGUAAUGGCCUACCAAGACUUUGAUCUAUAGCUGAUCUGAGAGGAUGAUCAGCCACAUUGGGACUGAGACACGGCCCAAACUCUUACGGGAGGCAGCAGUAGGGAAUAUUGCACAAUGGAGGAAACUCUGAUGCAGCGAUGCCGCGUGAGUGAAGAAGGCCUUUGGGUUGUAAAGCUCUUUCGUCGGGGAAGAAAUGACUGUCCCCGAAUAAGAAGGUCC
rnacentral:rRNA from 1 species